rnacentral:tRNA from 2 species
GGGCCGAUAGCUCAGUCCGGUAGAGCAGGGGACUCUUAAUCCCUUGGCCGCGGGUUCGAAUCCUGCUCGGCCCACCA